CGGAGCCUUGGACACCUGCAGAGCCAAUAGAGACAAAGGAGCCUGCAGAGGCCUCCCCUCCCCCAGUGUCUGUACACUGUAGAGACGCAGAGAUUGUGCAGAGACACCAGAAACCCCGAUCAUGGAGAGAUAUGAGGGAGGCUACAGAGACCCCCAGGGACCGAGGAGAGACAGAAGUCUCUCGGCCGCUCCCCCACUCAGACAGCACGGCCAUGACCCUGCCGCCCCGGCGGCCACUCUUCGCGGUUCUGAUCCAGCUCUGGAAGCCAGAGCUUUGGGGAGAUGCUGGGAGCCCCGCAGCUCUGCCUUCCGGAGCCAGAGAAGCGGAUAGUUCAGCCAGAGGCACGAGAACCUGGGCAUCAGCGGAGACUUCCUGGAGGAGGCGGCCGCGGGCGGGAGCACAGCCGGAGCAGAGACGGGAGCUGGGAUGGCCCGUGUGAAGAACCGCAAGCGGGCAAUGCUGGAAGAGAGCGUGGGAAGGGGGGAGGGGCGCGACGGCUAAGGACUUGGCGUGGGAUCCACUGGCAGGCCCUGACAGGGAAGGAAGGGAGCUUCUGGCCUGCCACCCGGGAGUUUCCCACUUAUUGUCUCCCUCCACAACGGACAUUUUCGGAAGGACCACCCGGUGGAAGUAGCUGGAGACCCAGAGCCCAGCCUGGGGCCGGGAAAACGCACUUUCAUGAAUUAAAUUCAGCUUCAGACACA